GACGAACGCUGGCGGCGGGCUUAACACAUGCAAGUCGAACGGAAAGGCCCUGCUUUUUUGGGGUGCUCGAGUGGCGAACGGUUGAGUAACACUGGAGUAACCUGCCCUGUACUUGGGGAUAACUUCAGGAAACUGGGGCUAAUACCGGAUAGGAGCUCCUGCUGCUUGGUGGGGUUUGGAAAGUUUCGGCGGUUGUGGAUGGACUCCCGGCUUAUCAGCUUGUUGGUGGGGUAGUGGCUUACCAAGGCUUUGACGGGUAGCCGGCCUGAGAGGGUGACCGGCAACAUUGGGACUGAGAUACGGCCCAGACUCCUACGGGAGGCAGCAGUGGGGAAUAUUGCACAAUGGGCGGAAGCCUGAUGCAGCAACGCCGCGUGCGGGAUGACGGCCUUCGGGUUGUAAACCGCUUUCGCCUGUGACGAAGCGUGAGUGACGGUAAUGGGUAAAGAAGCACCGGCUAACUACGUG
rnacentral:rRNA from 1 species